rnacentral:rRNA from 1 species
GAAUUGUUCACAAUGGGCGCAAGCCUGAUGACGCAACGCCGCGUGGAGGAUGAAGGUCUUCGGAUUGUAAACUCCUGUUGCCCGGGACGAAUGGCCACGCCCUAACACGUCGUGGUGUGACGGUACCGGGUGAGGCAGCCCAGGCUACCUAUGGGCCAGCAGCCGCGGUAAUACAGAGGGGGCAAGCGUUGUUCGGAAUUCCUGGGCGUAAAGGGCGCGUAGGCGGCCCGCUAAGUCGAACGUGAAAUCCCCGAGCUCAACUCGGGAACUGCGUCCGAUACUGGCGGGCUUGAAUCCGGGAGAGGGAUGCGGAAUUCCAGGUGUAGCGGUGAAAUGCGUAGAUAUCUGGAGGAACACCGGUGGCGAAGGCGGCAUCCUGGACCGGCAUUGACGCUGAGGCGCGAAAGCUAGGGGAGCAAACGGG